rnacentral:rRNA from 1 species
UACGGAGGGGGCAAGCGUUAUUCGGAAUUAUUGGGCGUAAAGGGCGUGUAGGCGGCCUUGUGUGUCCUAUGUGAAAGCCCUCGGCUCAACCGAGGAACUGCAUGGGAAACUGCGGGGCUUGAGUCCGGGAGAGGAUAGUGGAAUUCCCAGUGUAGCGGUGAAAUGCGUAGAUAUUGGGAGGAACACCGGUGGCGAAGGCGGCUAUCUGGACCGGUACUGACGCUGAGACGCGAAAGCCAGGGGAGCAAACGGG